rnacentral:sRNA from 1 species
UCCGGUGUGGGUGGGGUGGGCGUACGGAGGGGCGAAAAACAGAGGGCGGUGGUCCCCAGGCCCCCUCUUCGGCUUGUGACACGCUGGGCAUCUCGGGUUAUAAAAGGUGGGGCUGAGACGGGUGUGUGUCAAUUUCGAACCCCCGACUCCGGGGCUCCGCUGGGGAAGGGGCUGGCGGUCGGCUUUGUAAAGGGACCUAAGGCUUCUCCUCCCCCAAUAUCCCGAACAGUCGCGGGGUGGGGACAAUGAGAGCCCAGAAGGUUCGAGAAUGUCUCAGCCUGUGUUUCAGAAGCACUUGAAUUGUUGGCCUCUGCCCAGUGGGUUCCCUUGGCCACGAACCCCACUCCUUUUCUGGCCUCAGUUUUCCGUCUGUGGCAAGAGGGAGGCUCUGUGUCAGCACCGAACACGGUUAAUUUCUGCAAGUCUCAGGAAGGAUAUAAUAGGAUAGGAUAUAAAUUACGUUCUCUCCACUCCCCAGCACCUAAUACCGUGUGGCAUGCUGUAUUUAAUAAAUACGUGUUCAAUGAAUUUAUCCUCCCAGGAAUCCCUUAAAAGGGGAAUUUUAGGUCAGGCGCCGUUGAUCACGCCUGUAAUCCAAACACUGGGAGGCUGAGGCGGGUGGAUCGCUUGAGCCCAAGAGUGCGAGACCAGCCUGGGCAACCCAGGGAGACCCCUCGUCUCUACAGAAACUUAAAAAUUUAGCCGGGCAUGGUGGCGCGCACCUGUAGUCGUAGCUACUUGGGAGGCCGAGGCAGGAGGAUCACUGGAGCCCGGAAGGCCGAAGUUGCAGUGAGCUGAGAUCGCGCCACUGCACUCCAUCAUCCUGGGCAGCAGAGUGAGACUCUGUCUCAAAAAAAAAAAAAAAAAAAAAAAAGGUAAAUUAAAGAGAGAGGAAUUUUAGUUCUAUCUUACAGGUGAGAAAACUGAGGCGGGGACUGGGGUGGGGGCAGGUCAGUAGCUUCCAGUCUGGACUGCAGGUGACAGGGGUAACUGGAACCUGGGUUUGCCGGCAGCUUUCCAGCGUCUCUGCUUGCUCGACAAAGCAGAGGCAAGAGUGACAUUUUGAGACGCCUACCAGGCCUGUGCACCAGAUUCCAGUCCCGAAAUAGCCUCCUGUGGGGCUUGGGUGAGCUUGUAUUUCACCCUGGGUCCUGGGAAGGUGUUCAGAAUCUAGGAGCCGCAGGGCCGGGUGCGGUGGCUCAUGCCUGUAAUCUCAGCACUUGCGGAGGCGGAGGCGGAGGCGGAGGCGGAGGCGGAGGCGGGCCGAUCCCCUGAGGUCAGGAGUUUGAGAGCAGCCCGGCCAACAUGGUGAAAAUACAAAAAUUAGCUGGGCGUGGUGUAAGAAUCCAGGAGCUGCAGGGUUUUCCUUGGAGUGCUGCGAUGGCUGUGGGUGAGGGCGGUGGGCACAGGGAGUGGGUGGGGACCUUAUCUGCUGUUCUCCUAAUCCAGUUCUCCUGGUUUUCCCCCGUCCCCGUCUCUCGUAUUUGUGGUCUCCUUGUCUCCUCUCUUUCUCUCCCCUUUUUCCCUUCCCCCUUCUCUGUCUCUUGCUUGGUGUUGGUUUUCUGUGUGUCUCUGUGUGUCCCCGUGCCACCCCCUGUGCUGUGCCCCAAAACUCUGCCUGGCUGGUGCCUGGCUUCUCUCUUGAGGGCAUCUGUCACCUCUUCUGCUUGGUCAUCUGGUCAUCUGUGUUCCUCUUUUUUUCUUCCUGGCCCCACCUUGCUUUCUCUACCCUCCUCUCCCGAUCCCCCACUUCUCCCUCUCUCCCCUGGGCCCCGAUGUCUUGGACUCUCCUACCAGUGGCGCUUGAGGCUACAAGUCCAAGUAUCUUCAGCUCAAGAAGAAGUUAGAAGAUGAGUUCCCCGGCCGCCUGGACAUCUGCGGCGAGGGAACUCCCCAGGCCACCGGGUUCUUUGAAGUGAUGGUAGCCGGGAAGUUGAUUCACUCUAAGAAGAAAGGCGAUGGCUACGUGGACACAGAAAGCAAGUUUCUGAAGCUGGUGGCCGCCAUCAAAGCCGCCUUGGCUCAGGGCUAAUGCGCCCUGAAGGCAGAGUCCAGGGACCUUGACCCAGCCCCUCUCAGCAGACGCUUCAUGAUAGGAAGGACUGAAAAAUCUUGUGGACACCUGGUCUUUCCCUGAUGUUCUCGUGGCUGCUGUUGGGGGCAGAGAUUGACGCCCCUGGUCUUUGCCUCUGUGUGAGAGAGUCUGUGUGUAUGUGUCUUCCCCGGAAUCCACACCACCCCACCCUCCUCCUGUCCCGUGGUUUCAUCAUAUCUCUUUGCAUACCCCAUGUCUUCCCCAGUUGUCCCCUGGAGUUUGGGGGGACAUCCCGCCUCAGGCAUCCUUCUCAAGGGGAAGCCAAGAGAGGCAUCAGGAUGGGUGGGUUUCUGAUUGUGGCGACGUUUGCAACCGUUCACGAUUCAAUAAAUAUUGGAUGAAUUUAA